UGUCUUAGUGCUUCAUUUCAUCUCACUUUAUGUAUCAGUCAUCAGUCCUCUCUCCUCUGCUUUAUUUUUAGAUUGUGAGCCCUCCCAGGAGUCUGGGACCAUGUCUAAUUCCCACUUCUGUAUUCUUUCCCAGUGCUUAGUGCUCAGCAUGGGCUUCCACCCAAGGAGAGAAGGCUCUGACUAGACCAACACUUCCACCUGAUUAGAGACCGUCCCUCAGGCAGACUUCACCUCUGAUUCUAGUCUGACUUGUUAUUUUUCAAAACUUGGAAGUAACGGCAAGAAAAUAACUACAUAUUGAAGAAAAUAACAAGUGAAAUGGAAGAUCUCAUAGAAGGGAAGGAAGAUGAAUAAAAGAAACAAUUUAGCAAAGA